CAUCUAUACGUAAACUCAUGAUUAAUAAUAAAGUAUGUGAAAACAAUAAAGAUAUCGCUGAAUAUGUCACCCAGUUUUAUAAAAAUCUGUACACUUCAGACCCUUAUAAUGAUAGAGAAACAGAUUUAUUUGAGUAACAUUUCUGACACAACAAAGAAUUACAAUUAUUCCUAAGCCUAAUAAGGAUAAACUUUACAUUGACAACUGGAGACCAGUUACCCUUCUGAAUAAUGAUGCUAAACUAUUUGUUCUAGUUUUUGGAAAAAGAUUAAAGAAAGAUCUAGAAGAGAUCAUUGAGGAAGAACAGUCAGGGUUUAUGACAUAUCAGUAAUAAUAUCAGAUUGAUUUUAGAUAUGAUUGAUUACAAUUGCUUUAUACCAACUGAGUCUUUGAUGCUAUUCAUAGACUUUUACAAAACAUUUGAUACCGUGAGUCAUGAGUUUAUGUUCAAAUGCAUUUUGGUUUUGGAGAUUACUUCCAAAAAGCUGUUAGAACUAUUUACAACGGAUGUAAUAGUUCAGUCAAAUUAUUCAUGUGUACAAGUGGUAGAUUUAAGAUUAAUCGAGGUAUACAGCAGGGUAGCCCUUUGUCUCCAGAUUUGUUUUUAUUAGUUACACAAAUUAUGGCUCUACAUAUUUAAAAAACAGAGUUCGAAGGUAUAAGAGUGUUUGAAAGAGUAUUUAAAUUGUGUCAAUUGGCUGAUGAUACUACUAUUCUUCUUAAAAAUGAUUCAGAAAUAAUAAAAGUGAUUAAUUGCAUUAAAGUGUUUUCCUCAGUAUCGGUUUUUAAAAUGAAUAUUAAUAAAUCGGUGCUGUUUCCACUUAAAGAAUGUAAUUUAACAGAAUUACAUGGUAUUCCUAUUAAACAUACAGUCACAUAUUUAGGAGUUAUUAUACAUAAAGAUGAGCAUGAACGCAGUGUGCUCAAUUUCAGCCAAUAAUUGACAAAACAAAAACAAGAUUUAAUAUCUGGCUUCAAAGAGAUUUAUCCCUGAAUGGUAGGGUCUUACUAUCCAAAGCAGAAGAGAUAUCAAGAUCUGUUUAUGUGUCUUUAGCUUUAGAUCUAAUGUGUGCAAUAGACACCAUUAUCUGAGAAAAGAAAUUUUAUGUAAACCAAAGAGCAAAGGAGAAUUAUCUGUGCUUAGAUUUGAAACUUUAAAUAAUACAUUCAAGAUUAAUUGUUUGAUCAAAUUUAUUAAAGAAAAGGAUCGUAUGUGGUAUACAUUUCCAAAACAUGUGUUUGACAUAGAUCUUCUUUUGAGAUGUGAUUUUAAAAGUGAAAAACUUCCUGUUAAAUGAGCUAAAUUUCACAAAUGAGCUUUAUUGGCCUGGAUGCUGGUGUUUAAGCACAAUAUUUCCCCAAAUAAAUACAUUAUUUGGAAUAAUAGGUGCAUCCAAUAUAAAAAUAGAUCUCUUCUAUAAUAGUUGGUAUGAAAAUAAUAUUGCGUUAGUUAGACAACUUUUAAAUUCAAUUGGUAAUUUGUUAUCUUAUAGUGAAUUCUUGGAUAAAUUUGGUUUCAGUUACGCUGUUGUAUUUGACGCCAAACCUCAACAAGUUAUACAUUUUGUAAGAGCUUGUGGAAGUGAUUCUUCUGAGGCAAUAUUCGUUAAAGGCAGCAUGUUUAUAGGAGACAUUGAUAUUUUGAAACACAAUUGUACAAAUAAACAUAUUAGGAAUAUUAUAAUAGAUGAAACAGCUACUCAUAAAAGCUUAUUGUGGACCUGUGAAUUUACAAAUAUAAACAGGAAAAAAGCUUGCCGUAUUUGUGAAGCUGUUUAAAUAAAGUAAAAGAGGUUACAUUUAAAAUUUUACAUGGUAUAUAUCCAGCUAAAAGAGUGUUAGAGAGGUUUAAUUUAGAGAGUGAUUAUUCAUGUGAUUUUUGUUCAAUGGAAAAAGAAUCUAUUGUCCAUCUGUUUUGUAAUUGUAUAUACACAAAGAUUUUUUGGGUGGAUGUGGAAAAUUUCAUUAGAAGGAAAACAAAUGUUAUAUUUAAAUUAAAUAAAUUUGACAUAUAUAUAUAUAUAUAUAUAUAUAUAUAUAUAUAUAUAUAUAUAUAUAUGUAUUAUUCCAAUGAAACUAAUAAUAAUUUUACUUUUAUUGUACAACUGUUUAUUAUUUUGGGGAAAUUUCACAUACACAAGAAGAAAUGAUCAGGAUCCAAGCCAAAUUUGAUUCAUUUUCUUCAGGAGACUAAGGACUACUGCACCAGUUUGGAGAACAUUAUAAAUAAAAAAGCAAGGAAGACUUGUCAUAUUUUUAAGGAAUAUUUUGAUUAAUGAAUCAAUGAUUUGUAUGCUCUGGCAUGUUUUUUUUCUGUGUAUUAAUAUGUAAAUGUCUGUUUAUGAUUGUAUAUUCCUCUGGUUAAUAAUAAUUAAAAAAAAAAAAAGUGAGAUGAUCAUGACACUGUCAGAAAAUGAUCUCAGGCUAUCUUUGAUCACAAGACCGUCUUUGAACCUCUCUCACUGUACGAUGUUUAGGAGCCACGAUUGUUUCACGACGAUCAUCUUUCGUCUGGGACAGCACAAAAUCAUACAGUGUGUACCAGAGAUUAGAGAGAAUAAAUCUUUUUGUAGGAGACUUUGAGCUUUGUAACUUUGCAGAUCUUAUACAUGCACAAACAGAUACAUAACAGACUAAAGAAAGAGAAAACAUGAAAUCGCAUCACAUGACCCCUAUAAUACAUUAAUACAAAUAUAAUACAACUAUUAUUAAAAACAUGAUGUAUACACUCAAGCUUCCAUUAUUUGUUUUCCAAAAGUGAGCUUGAACUGUUUUUUUUUUCUUUUCAUAAUUAUGAAACUAACUUGUAACAAAA